CUUUGUGCCUCUACCAACUCCAACUCCUGCAUAAGGAUAGCAGCUCGAGGGGAGAAACACUUAGAACGAACUUAGGGCAGCAGGACAUUGUGUCGUAUAGACCAGUGCUUCUCAAAGCAGCUGUUUCACGAGAGAAACUUCUAAAAGCGCAGAAUAUAUGCAAAGUGGCACGAGAUGUAAGUUCAGCAAGUUUUCAUUUAUCCGUGAAAAUGGAUUUCAAAGAUGGCAUCACCACUUCGCGGAUUUUAUUGUAGAUUCUCAGUUUCAUCUCUGUAAAUUGAAAGAUGGCCUAUGCUUAAAAUACUAAAAAAUAUUCGACCAAACCAACAGCGAGGCAAAUAGACCCGCAUAAAUUAUCCAUUUGUUUUGCAUCGUUAGAAUACAAGAGACAGCUUUUUCACGUUUUACAUCGCGCAGUGAUUUAUGACGUUGCUAGGAACAAAAAGCAAUCACCUGCGGAUAAAAAAAAAAGCCGUCAAAAUGAAUUACUUUUUUGAUAAACUUCAAACAAAUAUCCAACUAUCUCUGUCGUCCUUGCAUGAUACAACGUAGAGACUGCCACACAAGGUGGUAUGAAGGACGCCCAAAGUUAGAUGUAAAAUUAAUUCUUUCGCUUCUGUUUCAUUUAAUUUUGUACGAACAUACGACUAGCAUGUUACAUCGUUGACAUUAAAAGGAACGGGGACAAGCGUUCGUUUGCGUUGGAAAGUAACGGCGAAUGCAAAAAACUGCCAUGGUAAGUACGAGGAAGCAGGUCGAGCAACUUUACACAGUGUACCGUGAGUGUAUCGGACUUUCCACGAUUUUCUCAAAUUGGAAUUGGCAAUGAAGGCACCCUCGAACCCUUCGCGCAAGUGAAGCGCCAUGUAAUUAAUCCUCCGAGUGGUACAGUAACAGUCAAAAGAAACGGCAGAUAUGCAAAACUGUUCACGCGCGACAGAUUAAUAACAUUGCAAUAUUGAUAUCGGCUUUUCACUUUGACAUAUAUUUUGAAAAUGUAAAUCUAAUUAAAUUUAUAUAACUUCAUGAAAUUAACAUAAAAUUAGCAUAAAAAUAUUUCCCACAGACUAACACAGAAUCUCUCAAUUACAUUGCAGUAAUAUUACAAUUUUCGCAAAUUGAAUGCAAUGUAGACAUUUUGUAGAAUUGUAAAAUUAUUAUAUUUAAAUUAAUCAAUUAAUUAGCCAAUAGAACAUGCAUGUAUAUAUUUAUGGUUUGUGUUAGUUCUCUGCGUUUUAUCACUGCAAUUUCGUAUGUCAUGUUAUGCUUUAAUAUUUCUGAAGGUAAAAUGAAAAGAGUCGAACAUUUUUUUUCUUUUGUAACUCAAUAAUCUGUAAACAAUUUGUAAAAAAUAUUAAUUUAGAAUCAAUAUAGAAAUACUUUUCUAAAAGUGAAUAUUAUCACGAAGAGUGCGUUAUCGCGCUUUUUCAAUAAGGAGCUGAUAAACAUAAGUUCAUGGAAGAUGCGAUAAUGGAAGAGGGGUUGAAGUAAAACAAGAAAGAUAAUUUUGACGAAGAGUUAAUACGAUGGUGUUUGACGUUGCUUACAGAAUUUUUUAGAUGAAAGACGCGAAAUUGCGCGAUUAACCGAUGCCGACGUUGUCGUUAGUUCAGAGAGGCGAACGAGCACACGCGAAUCGAUAAAUUCCAUUUCCCGAAGUAGGAAUCCGUAACGGUGAUCAAGACGCGGUUCUCCCGGGCCUCGGGAUUUGGGAUAAAACGCGAUUUUCGAAAAAUUUGCGUUGAGGAUUCCGGAAAGUGCGUUACUGCGACGCGAGAUUUGUCGCGACAACCGCGUUCUGCAAAAGCGCGGAGUGUGAUGCCGCUUAUCGUAAUCUAAGAUUAAUGUCGUGCAUCGUGCAAGACGCUCUGUCGAUUUUGCACAGGUAUUGUACGUUCUUUCAUGAUUUAUAGGGUACAAGGCGAAAGCAGGAUUUACAGCGGCAGCUUUUCCUACGAGCCUUGUAUUGUUAUCGAAAACCGCAGUGCUGUAAGUCGUCAUAUUUUAUUACGUCGUUAAUAAUAAUUGAGGAAAAUACUAUUGAGAUAUGUAAAUAUGGAAAUGUUCGCACUAAAAAGAUAUGUGUAUGUACAAGGAGGUCAAAGAUAAUGUAUUGUAAUAGUUAAUUUUUUUUAAUUAUAUACAUACCAUAUAGAAUUAGUGGAUCUUUCUUUCGCGCAAGUUCAAAAUAA
rnacentral:lncRNA from 1 species